ACUGUUACCUAAUUUUUAUAUUCUUAGAAAAAAAAAAUGUCCUAAAAAUCAUAAUUUUUCUAGUGAAACAAAAAAAAAACCAAUAUUAGAAAUUCAAGGAAGCACCGGCAUCAACUUGAGACUAAAACCCUUCAAAUUAUUUAUUCGAAUCUUAUCGUUUUGGCCUGGAUUAUGGUCUUAAAAUGUAUUAAUAUGCGGCUCUUGCGUUUAUCAGCAAAGUAAAUCAGUCGUAAAUGUGUACCUUAAGGAACUUACAAAUCAUUAAUGAUCCUGCAGUAAACUUCUUGUGUCAAUAAAAUGUGGAAAGAUGGGACUUUUGCU